rnacentral:lncRNA from 1 species
AAAAGUUGAUGUUGAUAAAAGUUCAUUAAAAAAACAAUAUCAUCUAACAGCGUACCUUUAGGUCAAACCUGACCAACAAUCGAGUCAUUUCGGACCCUUUACCCGUCCCAUUCGUAUCUAAACGUAAAUGGGCAAUCAAAACUAUACUCUGUACCUUCGCAACGUCCCCCUGAGGUACACCCGUGAACAAUAUCGGUGUCCCGGGCCGGACAUAUUUAACCUAUUUUAUUUAUUUUCAGAUACAAAACGCCGUAUCAGCAGAAUAGUUUUGGCUCACAGGUUAUUGCACCUGUGAUGAUAUUACACCUGGAUUCUCCUUACCUGUAUUACGUAAAUAGGUAUCGCAUGAUGACGGUAGUUUUAAAUACCCCACUAAAAGUUAUGUCGGGGAAGUUGUUUGCGCUGAUACGACAAUGGUGUUGAAUGGAGGUUCGAGCACAGAACCCUAGAACAGUAGGCUCUCGGAGGAUGGAAAAUGGAGCAAAGGUUAUCAUUAUUGAAUCAUGUCUCCGAGCAGAGCCCACCGUCCCGAAGUUGAAUUAUUUGCUCAAGUUAUCGGGCCUCCGUUAUCACCGGGGCGGCGCGUUUAAUAAUAAUUAAUGAUAAUUGCCUUUGAGCAAAGCCGAUCGGCCGGUACGUAACUUGCUUCAGUUUAACUUGGAAUUUGAGAACU